CUUUAAGAUAUAACAUGAAGGAGAAUAAGAGUACUUUCUAUGGGCUGCUAUCUAAACCAUAAGCUGAUACUCAAGGUGAAAUAAAUUAACAGAAGAGCCACAAGCACACUUGUGUUCUGGGAAGGUGUUUGUCCUAGUGAUAACCACAAGCGAAACUUCUAAUAUCCAUUUUCCAAAUCAUCCUUUCCGUACUCCAAACUUACUCAUCAGGCUAAUGGCAACAUUUCAGGACAGUACUAGCUAUUUAGACACCAACACUCUUGGGUGAAACAAGUAAUGUAAGGAAUUGUUAGCUACUGGGAAAUCCACGUCUUGGCCAGUAAGUCAGUGAAUACCAGAGACAGGAGAAGGAGGCAUGGAGAAGGGUCGUACCCAAAUAUUUACUUUAGACCUCCUGGGGGAGGAAAAUGUUUUCCCUUUUCUCAAGGGAAUGAUUGGGGAAUUACGGAUACCAGAACAAACACCAAAGCUUCAUUAACAGAAAAACAAAUCUUCUCUACAGGCCUCCACACGUCUCAGGAAAGCCCCCCUCCUUUCUUUGAUUCCCAAAAAAAGGGGAAUAAAUAUUUCAGAAAAAGGUCUGUACUCAUCUAGAUUGUUUUUGUUUUUAAUUCCUACAAAUAAAUUAAGUCCCUGCACCUCCUGAAAAGUUGGUCAGAAUCCUUGAGAAGCUACCCAGAAUCACACAGCAGCAGAAAUGGUUGGCCAGUCUCUUCAAUCUCAUUCAAAAACUUGAGAAACAGCAAAGUCACCGCCUGCAGGUUCCAGCUCAGCCAUUUAUGCUCUUGGUAUCUUCACAGCCACAUGAGAGCAAAAGGAAGCAAACCUGACUUUGGCCAUAUUGACAAUGCGUACCUCUCACCACAGAGGCGUAGCCAAGUCAGUUGUUAACCACGGGCAAAGGAACACUUAACAGUUUGGAGAUACAGUAAUAUUAGGUGAAUAACCCGCCUGUACUUUCACUUUAAACCUCAGGCAACACAGCAACACAUUAGAAGUUACCUGAAUUUAUACAGAGCUCAAGGCAGAAAACAAAACGCUAAAAAUUAAUGCCUUGAUCCUACAAACAUUUAAGUUGUACCUAACUUUACCCAGUGGAGUAUAUCUAUUGACUAUAAUGAAAUUACAAAGUGUGCUUGAGCCACAGAACAAAGCCUAAACUUGCAGCAUCAGGUGGAAAAGUGUUAUAUCAGAAGAAUUCCCUAGCAUAAAGACUGCUGUGGCACACUGUAACUGUCUCAAUGUGUAAAUCCAUGUGUUACAGUGGAACUGUGAAGUUACAGUACAAGUUUAACAAACAAAAGGUCAUUUUUACUCUAAACGGACACAACACCUACACUUAGGUACCUAUACUUAGGCAUUUUCAGGAGGAAACAAGUAGUUAAAGCACUAGCCCUGCGGCUAGCAACUGCCAAGUCCAAUAGAGAGAAAAAAAGCACAAGUUACAUAUCAAGAAAGCUGAAUUGUUUUAAGUACAUCUGGAAGGUAAAGUUGAUUGCAAAUAUAGCACGCAUCCUGCAUCCAAGUUUAUGGCACUGUUGAAGUGAAUGGAAGCUAGGCCUUGGGUUUAUUUCUUGUUUUACCCUGAAAGCAUUAAGAGGUGAGUCUUCUCCAAAAUCUACAGCUCUGUAGCAGAUAAUUCUACAUAUUGCAGUAUCUCUUAGCAAUUUAGAGAAAUGAGUUGGGCAGAACACAGGUGCAUCUAAAAUGCAGCAUCCAGUAACACCAGUGACCUAUUGGUCCUAUCAUCUAAAGGCAGACGUUGACUCAGUUCUGUUUAACUAAAGAGAAUAAAAAUACCGUGCUUAGGAUGCUGUCUGCUUGGGACAGCCAAAAGUAGGAUGCUGGUUUAAAAGAUUCAAUGACACAUCUCAGGUAGCAGUGAAUAGCACAACUGUCUACCAUGUCAUAGUUACAUUCAAACACACUUUAGGAUUAUUUCUUUUUUUCCAGAGAAUAUUUAAAGUUUUACCUUGCGGGGAAAAGAACAGCAGAAGACACCACACAAACAUGUAGAACUGGAAAUAUAUCAAGAGCUUAAGUGGAACAACUACAAAAAUGGAACACUAAAUACAUUAACAACAUUAACAAAAGUUACAUGGAACAACC